UGGGGAAUUUUCCGCAAUGGGCGAAAGCCUGACGGAGCAAGACCGCGUGGGGGAGGAAGGCUCUUGGGUUGUAAACCCCUUUUCUCAGGGAAGAAGUUCUGACGGUACCUGAGGAAUCAGCCUCGGCUAACUCCGUGCCAGCAGCCGCGGUAAUACGGAGGAGGCAAGCGUUAUCCGGAAUUAUUGGGCGUAAAGCGUCCGCAGGUGGCUCGUCAAGUCGGUGGUCAAAGCACAGGGCUUAACUCUGUAAAGGCCGGCGAAACUGACAAGCUAGAGUGCGGUAGGGGUAGAGGGAAUUCCCGGUGUAGCGGUGAAAUGCGUAGAUAUCGGGAAGAACACCAGUAGCGAAAGCGCUCUACUGGACCGCAACUGACACUCAGGGACGAAAGCUAGGGGAGCG
rnacentral:rRNA from 1 species